rnacentral:rRNA from 1 species
UACGAAGGGGGCUAGCGUUGUUCGGAUUUACUGGGCGUAAAGCGCACGUAGGCGGAUCGUUAAGUUAGGGGUGAAAUCCUGGAGCUCAACUCCAGAACUGCCUCUAAUACUGGCGAUCUAGAGUCCGGAAGAGGUGAGUGGAACUCCUAGUGUAGAGGUGGAAUUCGUAGAUAUUAGGAAGAACACCAGUGGCGAAGGCGGCUCACUGGCCCGGUACUGACGCUGAGGUGCGAAAGCGUGGGGAGCAAACAGG